GAUAAUUUCAAAAUUUCGACACAUUUCGAAGUUGAUACAGAGCCUACAAAAUACGAAUGUCAACUCAAGAUAGUCAAACAAAGUUGAAAGAACUGUGAAGUGAACAGCAAAGAUGAAAGCAAGAAGUUCAAGAAAAAACAUGGACAACUUGAACGGAAACUCCAAUGAAAGAUGCAAGUAUGGAAACAACUAAGAAGGAGAAUUCUUCGGGUGUAACCGAACAUUAUAUACUUUUGCAAUUUAUUUAUUUCAUUUUAUUAGGUUAGGUUAGGUUGGUUUCAUUUUAUUAAGAUAAUAAGAUAACACACAAUUCGAAUUCGACUAAAAUAGCGAAAAUCACAAUAUAUGUAUGUAUGUAUGUAGGUCUACAACUUUGCUUCCGCCGUUUUUUUUUUGUAAAUUUAAGUUUUUUUAUACCCUGAACAGGGUACAUUAAGUUUGUCACGAAGUUUGUAACACCCAGAAGCAAGCGUCGGAGACCCUAUAAAGUAUAUAUAUAAAUGAUCAGUAUGUUGAACUGAGUCGAUUUUGCCAUGUCCGUCUGUCUGUGGUUUAUAU